rnacentral:rRNA from 1 species
GAUGAACGCUGGCGGCGUGCCUAAUACAUGCAAGUCGAACGCAUAGCGAAAGGUGUUUGCACCUUUCAAGUGAGUGGCGAACGGGUGAGUAACACGUGGACAACCUGCCUCAAGGCUGGGGAUAACAUUUGGAAACAGAUGCUAAUACCGAAUAAAACUUAGUGUCGCAUGACACAAAGUUAAAAGGCGCUUCGGCGUCACCUAGAGAUGGAUCCGCGGUGCAUUAGUUAGUUGGUGGGGUAAAGGCCUACCAAGACAAUGAUGCAUAGCCGAGUUGAGAGACUGAUCGGCCACAUUGGGACUGAGACACGGCCCAAACUCCUACGGGAGGCUGCAGUAGGGAAUCUUCCACAAUGGGCGAAAGCCUGAUGGAGCAACGCCGCGUGUGUGAUGAAGGCUUUCGGGUCGUAAAGCACUGUUGUAUGGGAAGAACAGCUAGAAUAGGAAAUGAUUUUAGUUUGACGGUACCAUACCAGAAAGGGACGGCUAAAUACGUG